UACGUAGGUGGCAAGCGUUGUCCGGAAUCAUUGGGCGUAAAGCGCGCGUAGGCGGCCCUGUAAGUCCGUUGUGAAAGUCAAAGGCUCAACCUUUGAAAGCCGAUGGAUACUGCAGGGCUAGAGUCCGGAAGAGGCGAGUGGAAUUCCUGGUGUAGCGGUGGAAUGCGCAGAUAUCAGGAGGAACACCAGUAGCGAAGGCAGCUCGCUGGGACGGUACUGACGCUAAGGCGCGAAAGCGUGGGGAGCGAACAGG
rnacentral:rRNA from 1 species